rnacentral:rRNA from 1 species
UACGUAGGGUGCGAGCGUUAAUCGGAAUUACUGGGCGUAAAGCGUGCGCAGGCUGUUCUGUAAGUCAGAUGUGAAAUCCCCGAGCUCAACUUGGGAACUGCGUUUGAAACUACAGGACUAGAAUAUGUCAGAGGGGGGUAGAAUUCCACGUGUAGCAGUGAAAUGCGUAGAGAUGUGGAGGAAUACCAAUGGCGAAGGCAGCCCCCUGGGAUAAUAUUGGCGCUCAUGCACGAAAGCGUGGGGAGCAAACAGG